UAGGGAAUCUUCGGCAAUGGACGAAAGUCUGACCGAGCAACGCCGCGUGAGUGAAGAAGGUUUUCGGAUCGUAAAACUCUGUUGUUAGAGAAGAACAAGGACGUUAGUAACUGAACGUCCCCUGACGGUAUCUAACCAGAAAGCCACGGCUAACUACGUGCCAGCAGCCGCGGUAAUACGUAGGUGGCAAGCGUUGUCCGGAUUUAUUGGGCGUAAAGCGAGCGCAGGCGGUUUCUUAAGUCUGAUGUGAAAGCCCCCGGCUCAACCGGGGAGGGUCAUUGGAAACUGGGAGACUUGAGUGCAGAAGAGGCGAGUGGAAAUCCAUGUGUAGCGGUGAAAUGCGUAGAUAUAUGGAGGAACACCAGUGGCGAAGGCGGCUCUCUGGUCUGUAACUGACGCUGAGGCUCGAAAGCGUGGGGAGCAAACAGG
rnacentral:rRNA from 1 species